ensembl:piRNA 21ur-4781 ncRNA
UCAAUCGUAAAUUUGAAGUGU